AUAGCGUAUAUUAAAGUUGUUGCAGUUAAAAAGCUCGUAGUUGGAUUUCUGGGAGGGUGCCAAUGUCCGAUUGUUUCGUGUGCAGCGGCGCCCUUCCAUCCUUCUGUUAACGUUUCUUGGUAUUAACUUACUGGUUGCGGGCUCAGAUAUUUUACCUUGAGAAAAUUAGAGUGUUUAAGGCAGGCUUGUGCCCGAAUACAUUAGCAUGGAAUAAUAGAAUAGGACUUUGGUCUCCUUUGUUGGUUUGAGGGACUAGAGUAAUGAUUAAUAGGGACAGUUGGGGGCAUUAGUAUUUAAUUGUCAGAGGUGAAAUUCUCGGAUUUGUUAAAGACUAACUUAUG
rnacentral:rRNA from 1 species